rnacentral:rRNA from 1 species
GACAGAGGGUGCAAACGUUGCUCGGAAUUACUGGGCGUAAAGCGCGUGUAGGCGGCUUCGUGUGUCCCAUGUGAAAGCCCUCGGCUCAACCGGGGAACUGCAUGGGAAACUGCGGAGCUUGAGUCCGGGAGAGGUGAGUGGAAUUCCCAGUGUAGCGGUGAAAUGCGUAGAUAUCUGGAGGAACACCGGUGGCGAAGGCGGCAUCCUGGACCAAUACUGACACUGAGGAGCGAAAGCCAGGGGAGCAAACGGG